UAGGGAAUCUUCGGCAAUGGACGGAAGUCUGACCGAGCAACGCCGCGUGAGUGAAGAAGGUUUUCGGAUCGUAAAGCUCUGUUGUAAGAGAAGAACGAGUGUGAGAGUGGAAAGUUCACACUGUGACGGUAUUUUACCAGAAAGGGACGGCUAACUACGUGCCAGCAGCCGCGGUAAUACGUAGGUCCCGAGCGUUGUCCGGAUUUAUUGGGCGUAAAGCGAGCGCAGGCGGUUAGAUAAGUCUGAAGUUAAAGGCUGUGGCUUAACCAUAGUACGCUUUGGAAACUGUUUAACUUGAGUGCAAGAGGGGAGAGUGGAAUUCCAUGUGUAGCGGUGAAAUGCGUAGAUAUAUGGAGGAACACCGGUGGCGAAAGCGGCUCUCUGGCUUGUAACUGACGCUGAGGCUCGAAAGCGUGGGGAGCAAACAGGAUUAGAUACCCUGGUAGUCCACGCCGUAAACGAUGAGUGCUAGGUGUUAGACCCUUUCCGGGGUUUAGUGCCGCAGCUAACGCAUUAAGCACUCCGCCUGGGGAGUACGACCGCAAGGUUG
rnacentral:rRNA from 1 species